rnacentral:ncRNA from 1 species
GAGAAAGGUUCCGUGUGAUCAGUAAUUGGACACGGGUGAGUCGAUCCGAAGAGAUAGGAAAAUUCCGUUUGAAAGCUUGGAGGUUUGAGACGUGGAGUUCGUCCUUGCGUUUUGUAUGCAACCUCGUGUAUCGAAAGGGAAUCAGGGCAAUAUUCAUAUCGGACAGUACGCUAUCCGCCAUGUCCGGAUUCCUGACUUUACUCGAUUAUAAUCGUACCGAACAUGCAGUCUUUCUC